rnacentral:lncRNA from 1 species
UGACGGUGACGGUGACGGUGACGUGCAGAAGCAGUGACACCCGCCUGAGCUGCAGCCCUGUCCACAGAAGGCAGAGAAGAGAGGGCUCAGCCCCGAGAGCCAAGAGCCGGAUGGGAAGUCACCUCGUGUCCACGGACAGGACUCAGGGGACCGCAGCCCACCGGUUUGCUCGGUGAUGUGAAGGGGAGAGUUCCUGCCUCGCUCUGGCCCUUCGGGGGGACGACCCAGCUGACAGACUGCGUCCCAGAGCCGGGCUCGUACGUCAGCUUCAGUGGCGAGUGCCCCGUUACGCCGAAUGCCCUUGUAAAGGGAGGCUCCCCAAGUGCAUGUAACACAAGUCUGCACAGCAAGGCGGCGUGCAAGCGUUCGUCUCAUCGGAGGAUCUUCGCGCUGUCCUUCCGGAGCAAAAGAGCUCAGGCGCUUGGGUGGCAAUUAAGCACGAACGCGCUCGUUUCCCCGACGGGCCGAGCGUGCGACUCUCACCCAGGGAAAUGUCGCCCGGCGUCAGCGCUGCCCGGACAGGCAAUCGGAGCUUCCGCGGCGCCGAUGCGGGGCGGCUCUUCCAGGGCGAGAGGAAGCCCGCCGUGGGCUUGACCGGCAGGCACGUUUCUCGGGAGGAGGAGGACGAAAGGCCGCCGGCCCCAGCCCGACGUUUUGCCGGUCAGGGUAACAGGUCACACUUCGAGCAGUUCGGAGGUUUCCAAUCGGUGCAAGCGCUGAGACAGGGGUGCUCGGAACAAAGAGCAAUCUUGCCCUCACGCGCACUGUGAGUGGUCUUCGUCCAAGCCAGGCUGUGUCCACAAGCUUCCAGCUGACAUUUGGAAGAAAGAUACGCUCCUUCUGAGCUGAUUUUGGAGGUAAGGCAUUCUGGGUGCAUCUGGGCGGCCCGGGCAGGGAGUGGGGUGAGGGACGGAUGCAGAGACAACCUGGUCCCCAUCUGCGCCUGACGACAUCCUCCAUGCCGCACUCAUUCUAGAAUCCAUUUCAAAGUAGUGCCACUGGAGAUCCAAAGGCAAGCUGAGGGAAUGAGUCAAAGUGCAGUGAUUUGGUGAAGAAGAUGCAUUUUGUAUUUCUUCUAUUUCAAGCCUCACACCCUUGCAAAGCUGUGUCCCCAGGGCCCUGAGGGGAGUGUGCUCCCUUCUCAGAGUGGCACCUGCUGAACUAGAGACAGAGGCGAUCGUCACCACUGGUCUGACAGGCACUUCUCCA